CGCUCUGGAGGAGGAAAAAGCUUUGGUGUCUGUCAAGAACAUUAUUCAAAAAUUCUUGGACACUUCUAAGCCCUUGCUGUGAGCAUGGAGACGGGGGACUGAGGGAAGCUUUGCCUAGGCUGGGAUGGCCCUUGGGUUUAGCCCCAGGUUUGCGUGCUGCUGUAUUCAUGGAUACUGCCCCAGAGGGAAGAAGCACCAUGGGGACUCUCACUGCGAAGAAGACAGACCAUUAUCACCACUCCUCCCCUCUGUUUCCCCAAAGCCCCCUCCUGACCCCAGCGUCAAUCUUCCACGCUGGCUGGUAUAGCUUUCCUCAGGGCAGGGGCGGAUCACCAACUCAGGCCUCCAUCCAGGGGUUUCCUGUCACCAAAGUUGCACUAAUGCAAAUCCAUUUUUCAUUAGGAGAAAAUAAAACUCACAAGUGACAUCAACUGAAAAA